CACUUCUUUUUGGUACAUUUUACAUAUUCCUUAAUGUAGACAUCAUUUUUAUGUUACACAUGUAAGGGUCUCGUUUUCUGACACAAAUUAUUUACGAUUUCUUUCCACUGGCUCAGUAGCAGACAUAGACUUUUAAGGCACACAGGAUGCUGGACUGUAGAAGAUGGGCAAACAGAUCAUAUGGAUUAAUUAUAGAUACAGUGCAAGUAAAAACAGGGUUUAUAGUUUGGAAGACUCGUUAUCAAAAUAUUUUUUGUCAUUUUCAGGAUAUAUUAACUGACAAGAUUGUUGUACAGUGCCUGAAGAAGUGUAAUGAUGAUGGUGAAGAUGAUAACAAUGAUCAUGAUGGAAAUGAUGAUGUUGCUACCACAUGUACCACAGCAAAUCAACAUCUUUUCACAGAUCAUCUUCUCUAAAGUGUUUACCUUAGCUAGAUUAGGCAGUAGAAACACCAAGACAGUGUACAUAGCAUCUAAAGGACAGUGAUAACCCUGAUUUACGUGACAGAGGCUACAUAUACUGGAGAUUACUCUCCACUGACCCAGCCGCUGCUAAAGAAGUUGUACUUGCUGAGAAACCUCUGAUCUCAGAGGAGAUAGAUCUGAUUGAGCCGACCCUGCUUGAUGAACUGAUCUGCCACAUCUCGAGUCUAGCAUCGGUCUAUCAUAAACCACCCAAUGCAUUCGUGGAAGGACGGGGUGGACAGAGAAGAGUACUGCCAGUUAAAUCUCAAGGACUGUCAAAGGUAAAGACCACAGAUGUAGCAAGCAACAGACAAGUAGCAGUCACAAAUAAAACAACAUUACGGUGCAUAAUUAAAAGGUGUAUAUGAUUUCUUUACCAUAUAAGUUACCAGAAUAUACCUUAUAAAUUACCAGAAUAUGAUUGUAUGGCACUUUUAAAUCAUAUACUGGAUUCCUGCCCAUCUGUCUGUCCGUCAUUCUGUCCACAUUAAGCUUGUCUGGCU
rnacentral:lncRNA from 1 species